GGGAAUCACAUAUAUUGUGGCUCUAUUCUAUACUCUUUUAUAAUACGUCUUGAUAUUGAAAAGUAUACCCUGCUCUCCCCCACAAUUAAUUAAACAAAAAAUAGAUUAUCAUAAGGUUAUAUUAUGGUAUACAAAUAGAUUUUAAGUUUCUGUAUAGACUCAUGGUGGUGUCAUCAAUAUGGAUUUUAGCUUGUAGAGUUUAGAAUGAAAUAUACCAAUGGUUGGGAACCGAUACUA
rnacentral:lncRNA from 1 species